CAAAACAGUAAUAAUAAACGCAAAAAGAUGCCAGACUGGCUCAGUCUGCACCCUGGUGUAACCACAGUCCGUGUCUUAAUUAGAGGUGUAUGAAGCAAGGCCGUGUGCUGUGGAACAGAGAGGUGGAGCAAUCAGCUUAAGCUGGAGAAUGGUUGAGCUGCUCUUAGCAAGGAUCAGAGUGCUGAACUGCAAGAGAGAGAAAAAAAAGUCUGCUUUCAGUAAGUGUCAGAAUGCCAGUCAUGAGCUAUGGACUUGGUGGCAGAGGCAGAAAUUCCAAGGCUAAGCCAGUUCUGAAGAGACUCCGGAAUACCAAAAGGCUGCUGCAUUCGUGCUGGAUGGUUGUGCAAAGAACUGGCUGUUCACAUCGCAGAAACCACGGAAAAGAAGAAAGGUGUUGUGAAAUGGUUAGAGUCAGGACUAUAACUUUAAACACUUUAUAGAAAAAUAGUUACCGAGAAGUAAAAGGCAAAGAAAAGAACACAAACCUCUACCCUUUGACCUUAUUCAGCUCUAGAUCAACCUCUUUAUGAAGUUUUUCAUUUAACUUUCAUUUAAGAGAUGAAUGAGGAGUAUUCUCUUCCAUGCCGUAUGCAGAGGAGACAUGGACAUGAGUCUGUCCACCACAACACACUCUGGUGCUAGCAGGGAGUCCAGUGCUGGAUAACACCUUUGCAAAUAAGUCUGACUGCAUCAAGGCAUGUUGCUCUACUUGGGAACUGGUGUGCUUCUGUUCCAUUCUGAUGCUUUUCCACUGAAUUCCAU